GAUGAACGCUGGCGGCGUGCCUAAUACAUGCAAGUCGAGCGAACGGACGAGAAGCUUGCUUCUCUGAUGUUAGCGGCGGACGGGUGAGUAACACGUGGAUAACCUACCUAUAAGACUGGGAUAACUUCGGGAAACCGUAGCUAAUACCGGAUAAUAUUUUGAACCGCAUGGUUCAAAAGUGAAAGACGGUCUUGCUGUCACUUAUAGAUGGAUCCGCGCUGCAUUAGCUAGUUGGUAAGGUAACGGCUUACCAAGGCAACGAUGCAUAGCCGACCUGAGAGGGUGAUCGGCCACACUGGAACUGAGACACGGUCCAGACGCCUACGGGAGGCAGCAGUAGGGAAUCUUCCGCAAAGGGCGAAAGCCUGACGGAGCAACGCCGCGUGAGUGAUGAAGGUCUUCGGAUCGUAAAACUCUGUUAUUAGGGAAGAACAGAUGUGUAAGUAACUGUGCACAUCUUGACGGUACCUAAUCAGAAAGCCACGGCUAACUACGUG
rnacentral:rRNA from 1 species